GUUCAGGGGAUCGAUAUGGCUACCGAGGGGGAUGUGGAGCUGGAGUUGGAGACUGAGACCAGCGGCCCGGAGCGGCCUCCCGAGAAGCCACGGAAGCAUGACAGCCGUGCAGUGGACCUGGAGAGAGUCACCGACUACGCAGAGGAGAAGGAGAUCCAGAGUUCCAAUCUGGAGACGGCCAUGUCCGUGAUUGGAGACAGACGGUCCCGGGAGCAGAAAGCCAAACAGGAGCGGGAGAAGGAACUGGCCAAAGUCACCAUUAAGAAGGAAGAUCUGGAGCUGAUAAUGACAGAGAUGGAGAUCUCAAGAGCAGCAGCAGAACGGAGCUUGAGGGAACACAUGGGCAACGUGGUAGAGGCUCUUAUUGCCCUAACCAACUGAUUUGUGCUUUCUCAGACCCACUCACUGGAUUAUUUUAUUUCAAUAAAGAUGUAGCCUUUUUUUUUUUUGCA